rnacentral:rRNA from 1 species
GUGUCAGCAGCCGCGGUAAAACCAGCACCUCAAGUGGUCAGGAUGAUUAUUGGGCCUAAAGCAUCCGUAGCCGGCUCUGUAAGUUUUCGGUUAAAUCUGUACGCUCAACGUACAGGCUGCCGGGAAUACUGCGGAGCUAGGGAGUGGGAGAGGUAGACGGUACUCGGGAGGAAGGGGUAAAAUCCUUUGAUCUCUCGCUGACCACCUGUGGCGAAGGCGGUCUACCAGAACACGUUCGACGGUGAGGGAUGAAAGCUGGGGGAGCAAACCGGAUUAGAUACCCGGGUAGUCCCAGCUGUAAACUAUGCAAACUCAGUGAUGCAUUGGCUUGUGGCCAAUGCAGUGUUGCAGGGAAGCCGUUAAGUUUGCCGCCUGGGAAGUACGUACGCAAGUAUGAAACUUAAAGGAAUUGGCGGGGGAGCACCACAAGGGGUGAAGCCUGCGGUUCAAUUGGAGUCAACGCCAGAAAUCUUACCCGGAGAGACAGCAGAAUGAAGGUCAAGCUGAAGACUUUACCAGACAAGCUGAGAGGUGGUGCAUGGCCGUCGCCAGCUCGUGCCGUGAGAUGUCCUGUUAAGUCAGGUAACGAGCGAGAUCCCUGCCUCUAGUUGCCACCAUUACUCUCAGGAGUAGUGGGGCGAAUUAGCGGGACCGCCGCAGUUAAUGCGGAGGAAGGAAGGGGCCACGGCAGGUCAGUAUGCCCCGAAACUCUGGGGCCACACGCGGGCUGCAAUGGUAAUGACAAUGGGUUCCGAAUCCGAAAGGAGGAGGUAAUCCCCAAACAUUACCACAGUUAUGACUGAGGGCUGCAACUCGCCCUCACGAAUAUGGAAUCCCUAGUAACCGCGUGUCAUUAUCGCGCGGUGAAUACGUCCCUGCUCCUUGCACACACCGCCCGUC